CAAAUCGUCGUCGUUUUGCGAAAAUCGCCCAUAGGGAAGCCAUUCUGCGAAGCGCCGUUCAGCUGUUAAAAUCGCUGUCUUGCGAAGCACUGGUCCCGAAAACACCCGUUUUGCGAAGCGCCGAUCAGCUGUUAAAAUCAUCAUCUUGCGAAAAUCGGUUUUAAAAAAACCGUAUUGCAAAUCACAGACCUAAACAUCAUAUAGCGAAAAUCGCCCAUAGGAAAUACUGUUUUGUGAAGCGCUAUAGCAAUCACAAAAACUCAUCAUCAUGCGAAUUUGUCAUUUUGCGAGGUAAUCGUCUAGCGGGGCACCACUGUACCUGUAGUCAUCUGGUUGAUGGGUACAACAACUAGGAUGCGUGACUGAACCAGUCUUUGGUCUGAUCACAGAGAAUACAUCUAUUUAUGCUUCCUUUUUAUUUCCUAGCCUUUUGGGCCCUGAUUGCCAUGGCCAGCUUCACAGGCGUUACAAGUCAUCUGACUGUUUCUUAUGGAUGGUCUUUCAGCUUGGGAUGGGCUUCUUGUCUUCUGUUCCUGAUAACAGGUGUGCUGGGUCACCUAGCCCGAAGAGAAUUGUCAGGUGCUGAGUCCUUUUAAGAUGACAACCCCCCCCACUCUUUUACGGGUAGAAUGGGGACGCGGAGAGAGGCUACAAUGAACUUGAGCUCAUUUGGAUGAGACUGUAUCUCCAAGAGGCCCCUGACUUCAAAGGCAGUGGAAGGGGACAGAACCACAGAGGAUUGUUCCCGUGGCGCUGUCUGUUCAGAUCCCACCAUGAAUGUCCUGCAGAUGUGCUCAGCGAUCUGCUCUUUUGUCAGCCUCCUCCUGCUCCUCAUUUCCCUUGGCUCAGACUACUGGGUGGUAAAUGGCACUGUGCAUGCGGGUCUGUGGAACUUUUGCGUCUCAAGUGUGUGCAGUCCAUUUGGAAUGGACGUGGCAGCUGGGGACCACGCCACUCGAGCAUUUAUGCUGCUAGGGAUGAUCGCUGGCGCUGUCUCUUUCUUUGGUAUUUGCGCCUCAUUCUUUAAAUCUCAAGUCGGCUCCAUGUCCCUGAUCAAGACUUCAGCUGACGUCAGUAUUGUUGCAGCUAUUUGUGCCAUGAUCGCCAUGUCCGUCUUCACAGGAUUAUCAUCUGGUUCACGUGGUUUUUAUGGAUGGUCUUUUGGCUUGGGAUGGGCCUCAUUUCCUCUCUUCCUGAUAACAGGUGUGCUGGCUUACCUAUCACGAACUCUAUCGCCAGAAUGAUUGUAAUGGAAAGGUGCUGAGGCCUUUUGAGAUGACACCCCAAGCUCUUCUAUUGGAACGGUGGACGCAUGGAGAGAAGCCACAGUAGAACUGAACUCUAUUUGGAAGAGACUGUAUCUCCAAGAGGCUCCUGAUUACGAAGGCAGCAAUUUAGAAUUUGGAACCACAGAGGUUGAUAGCCACAAUUUUACAGAAGUGAAUCUGCUCCUGGUUUUCCUUUUUUCUUCUUCUUGACCCUGUACAUGUGUACAGGAAUGGUGUGGUGGAUACACUCCCUGCAAUUGGUUCAGCACCUUGGAAAGCUCCUUUAAAGUUUUUAGUAAAACCAGGAAUGGAUUCCCUUCUCCUGCAUCUUUGGGCUCACCAGCCUGCUUCUGGUCCCAGACAGACCUGUUGUUCAGUCAAUGAAGCUACUCUUCUCUCCCCCCCCCCAUUUUUCCUUUGAGUGAGUUCUUCUGAGAAUCAAACUGCUCCCUGGUAAAUGAAUUUAUUUCUUUGCUCCCUUUUUCUUGUUCUUCUUCUUCUUAACCAAGUGUGCAUUCUAAGAAACGCCUCAAAAGCCACCAUCCACCCAUUUUCUGUUGUAUCAGAGCCUUGUACCAAUGACUGGGCAAAGGUCUUUGCGCUGUACCAGAACAGCUGCUUGAGAGCCAUUAUUUUAAGUGCAGGGUCCAUCAUGACAGCUGAUCACCUUGAUCCUUUUCAUAAUGGUUUUAUCUAACAUUUUUAAUAUCAUGUUAUUGAUUGUUCUUUCGUACUGAAUAAUUUACUGUGUUUAGCUUUUCAUAUUGCGCUUUUAAUUAUGUAAGCCACCUUGAGUCCUUUUUCUAAGGAGAAAGGCAGGAUAAAUGUAUUAUAAAUAAAAAAUAAAACAUGAAAAAAAUGUCA
rnacentral:lncRNA from 1 species